UACGUAGGGAGCGAGCGUUGUCCGGAAUGACUGGGCGUAAAGGGCGUGUAGACGGCCUGAUAAGUCUGGAGUGAAAGUCCCGUUUUCAAGAUGGGAAUUGCUUUGGAGACUGUCGGGCUUGAGUGCGGAAGAGGUAAGUGGAAUUCCCAGUGUAGCGGUGAAAUGCGUAGAGAUUGGGAGGAACACCAGUGGCGAAGGCGACUUACUGGGCCGUAACUGACGUUGAGGCGCGAAAGCGUGGGGAGCGAAC
rnacentral:rRNA from 1 species